AGCUCUUUUUCUAGCCCAACACCACCCACACCCUACAAAAAUAAAUCUUUUAACACCUAAUCAAAACAUUUCAUACACCUAGUAUAGGCGAUAGAAAAGUAAUCAUGGCGCUAUAGAAAGCCUUGUACCGCAAGGGAAAGAUGAAAUACUAAUGAAAUACUUAAGCACUAGAUAGCAAAGAUUAACCCUUGUACCUUUUGCAUCAUGGUUCAGCAAGAAACACCCAAGCAAAAUGACCUUAAGCUUGCCACCCCGAAACCUGAGCGAGCUACUUACAAGCAGCUAACAUAUGAGCUAACCCGUCUCUGUCGCAAAAGAGUGGGGUGACUUGUCAGUAGAGGUGAGAAGCCAAACGAGCCUGGUGAUAGCUGGUUGCCUGUGAAAUGAAUCUCAGUUCACCCCUGAUCACUCCCCCCAAUCCUCAACUUCCCAUGUAGUUGAUCAAGGAGUUAUUUAAAGGGGGUACAGCCCCUUUAAAAAAGGAUUCAACCUCAUAAAGCGGAUAAUUUAACACCACAAUAGCAACUGUUGGCCUUUAAGCAGCCACCAACAAAGAAUGCGUCAAAGCUCUGCCAAGCAAAAAUAUACCCACCCCAUGAAUCCCUCACCACUAACAGGCCAACCUAUUUUAAUAGGAGGAUUAAUGCUGAAAUAAGUAACUAGGGCCCUACCCCUCUUAAGCGCAAACUUACAUAUCACAUUAUUAAACAAAGCACGAUAAUACUACCCCCACUAGUACAACAUAUCAUACAAUCCUGUUACACCGACCCAGGAGCGCAUUAUUAGAAAGAUUAAAACCUAUAGAAGGAACUAGGCAAACCCAAGGCCCGACUGUUUACCAAAAACAUAGCCUUCAGCCGACCAAGUAUUGAAGGUGACGCCUGCCCAGUGACCCCUCCACGUUCAACGGCCGCGGUAUCCUAACCGUGCAAAGGUAGCACAAUCAAUUGUCCCAUAAAUUGAGACUUGUAUGAAUGGCUGAACGAGGUCUUAACUGUCUCCUGUAGGUAAUCAGUGAAAUUGAGCUCCCUGUGCAAAAGCAGGGAUAAUUACAUAAGACGAGAAGACCCUGUGGAACUUAAAAAUUAUGGCCACUACAUAUUUUAAUCUAGGUCCACUAGACCCUAUCCAAUUAACCCCCGUUGGCCUAUAUUUUUCGGCUGGGGCGGCCCUGGAGCACAACAAAACCUCCAGAAAUAGGACCCGAUUCUUAACUUAGAGCAACACCUCAACGUGCAAAUAGCUACCAGACCCAGUACAACUGAUCAAUGAACCAAGCUACCCCAGGGAUAACAGCGCAAUCCCCUUCAAGAGCCCCUAUCGACAAGGGGGUUUACGACCUCGAUGUUGGAUCAGGACACCCUAAUGGUGCAGCCGCUAUUAAGGGUUCGUUUGUUCAACGAUUAAUAGUCCUACGUGAUCUGAGUUCAGACCGGAGCAAUCCAGGUCGGUUUCUAUCUAUGCUAGAUUUUCUCUAGUACGAAAGGACCGAAAAAAUAAGGCCCCUACCACUAGUACGCCUUCCCCUCAAGCAAGGAAUUCAACUCAAUUGCCAAAAGGGCUAAAUAUUCCAAUCCUAAAAAAGG
rnacentral:rRNA from 1 species